rnacentral:misc_RNA from 1 species
GGCUAGCCUCCUAUCUUCCCAAGGUAAUUUUGUUGAAAACACUUUUGAGUUUUGGGCUUUCUUAAUACUCAUUCGUGCUCUUUUCGGAUUGUUGAAUAUAUAUGAUUCGUGCUUUAGAUUUUUGUAAAUGGAGUGUUUGGAGGAAUUUGACUGUGUUGAUGGAUAUGUAUUUAUGCUUAGUAACAAAUCUAAGUGAUAAUUUAGGAGGCAAUUCCCUUUCUUCAUGUCGAGGGAUAUCAAGACCACACUAUGUCAAUUUCUUAGUUCAGAAUAAUUGCUUAUUUAACUGUUCAACUAUGGUGAUAG